CAGUCGCCGCGUAAUACGUAGGUGGCAAGCGUUGUCCGGAAUUAUUGGGCGUAAAGGGCUCGCAGGCGGUUUCUUAAGUCUGAUGUGAAAGCCCCCGGCUCAACCGGGGAGGGUCAUUGGAAACUGGGAAACUUGAGUGCAGAAGAGGAGAGUGGAAUUCCACGUGUAGCGGUGAAAUGCGUAGAGAUGUGGAGGAACACCAGUGGCGAAGGCGACUCUCUGGUCUGUAACUGACGCUGAGGAGCGAAAGCGUGGGGAGCGAACAGGAUUAGAUACCCCGGUAGUCCCUGUCUCUUAUACA
rnacentral:rRNA from 1 species